UACGUAGGGUGCGAGCGUUAAUCGGAAUUACUGGGCGUAAAGCGUGCGCAGGCGGUGAUGUAAGACAGAUGUGAAAUCCCCGGGCUCAACCUGGGAACUGCAUUUGUGACUGCAUCGCUGGAGUGCGGCAGAGGGGGAUGGAAUUCCGCGUGUAGCAGUGAAAUGCGUAGAUAUGCGGAGGAACACCGACGGCGAAGGCAAUCCCCUGGGCCUGCACUGACGCUCAUGCACGAAAGCGUGGGGAGCAAACAGG
rnacentral:rRNA from 1 species